rnacentral:lncRNA from 1 species
CCUAAUACACGCUCCAUCUCUCCAUCUCUCCGCCUCUCCUCUUUGCCGAUUCUCUCAGAUCAAAUCAGAUCAUUGGAUUCUUCGCCGCUCGAAACCCUGGUGCAUUUCUAUUCUUCUUUCUCACGCUUUGACAUUCUCCACAACCGUAGAAACCAAAGUUGUUCAUCCUGUUCUUCGUUCAAUAAUCCUUCAUCAGUCGUAUCUCCCCAUUAAAAGGGGCUCGCACAUGUUCUGCAGUACCCCCUGUGAAUACUCCGCCAGGGAUAGCCGAGCCACUUCCCUUUCUUUAUGAUGCUCUUGCCCUUCACCUGCUUCUCGAUUUCUCAUCCAAAACAUUUGAUUCCUUUCAAAAGGAUGUCCCUUGCAAGCGAUUUCCACAGAAGUCUAACUAUGUUCUGGAUUGCUUUUCACCUUCUUCUCGAAUUCUAAUAAAAAUCGAUUGAAUUUCAAAACCACCCCUGUUGCAAUCGAUUUCCUCAGUUAGGGUUCAUCGUAUUUAAGGUAUUUAAGAAUGAGCUCUGAAUAAACCAAGUUUUUUUGUGCAAUAACUCAUAAUCAAAACAUCAGGUAACAAAAAAAAAUAAUAAACAAUAUAUAACAAAAAACUUAGAAAGCCUCAAACCAUAAUAGAAGCUGGAAUAGCUUAGUUGGUUAGACCAAAUUUCGGGGAUUUAGACGUGUUUUGGUUCCAGGUCAAUUUUGGAUGUUUUAAACCGCGGUUAGCUGGUUAGACCUAUAUUAUCACUCUUCUUUUUCCUUGCUAACUCAUGAAUAGGCUACAUGAAUGAUGAAACUCACUUUUUUGAUUUUGAGAUUUAUUACAGCCUUCCGUUUUAAAACAAAUCUUACUUUUCAAGAUCUAAUUUUGUUAUAUAUGUAGCGUGCAACUAUCUACAUUGUUGCUGGAUCAUUAGUGGCCUGGUCUUAACUCUUAGCAGUCUUACAAAGGUAAUUAACACAUUCUAGCUCGAACUUGCAGUCUUACGUUUCAGAAAACAUCUAAAACAUAUGCAAGUGUUUAUGCCUCAGAUACUAGAGUAAAUUCUUUAUGUAAAUGAGACUUUAAAAGCCUUUAUGUAUUUUUGUCUCUCAAAGCAAUGAUUUACAUGUAGCUGGUACUAUCAAUGUAAGUUUUUUAUGAUUUGUAGAAACUUGAUUUACCAUCAUUUAUUCAUCUUUUAGGGUUUUAAAAAAAUGUGUUGGUUCAUUUGUUUAGAUUUGUUCAUCGCUUAGGGUUUUAAAAACAUUAUUUGUGUUUUAGAUUUAUAAGAACUUCAUGUUUUCCGAUUAUAUGUCGUGAACUUGCGAUUCAUGUUUCAAUUAUGUGAGAUGAACACCAAAGACGGUGCCGGAAUACUCGUUGUUUCGAUUUGGUGAGUUUUUUUCCUAUUCGAUGAGUUAGGUUUCGGGAGUACAUUGAUUAGGUGUCCAGUUUGUUUGGAGACAAUGCAAUCAGGCGUCAUCAAGCAAUAGCCGUAAAGGUUUCUCAAAUCUACAUAUGCCGGUCAAUACCACGUGUUCCCUUAUAGGUUUCCCAUCUUUUCACGCGUCUUCAUCUGCCCACCAUAUGUAUUGCCGCACACAUUACCGCAUCUUUCCCGACGAAGAUAUUUUAAUCUACCUACACAAAAGGUGGCAGCAAUGAAGGGAAUCCAUUGAUGAAGGAAGCUGCGGUGAUUGACCAGCAUAUGUAGUUUGAGAAACCUUAGAAUGUGAUAUUACUCUUUCAAGUCUUGCAAGCUAUAAGAAGGCUGAAGGAAAUUCCAAUGGUAGAAAGGAAAUGAUAUGCUGAUUACACGGAUCAUCAUUAUCUAGCCUGCUGGAGGACGCCGAUGACCACCGAUUUUGGCAGAGAGAUGAAGGAAUUAUGCUUCAUAUGACACAUAUUGCUUUAGCGAUUCAAUCUCAUAACAGGUAUAUCUGUGUGUUAUAAAGCAUUCUGGCGAAAGUGAUUUGGUGGAACGUUUAAUUGAGGAUCAAACUCCGCAUUAAAAUUGUUUUUGAAACUUGGCGGAGAUGAUUAAAAUUGGGCGAAGACAAGUCGGGUAAAUGUUGGAAGAUUUGGAGAGGCAAUUAAAGAGACAUACAGUAUAGAAAACGAGCAUUUGAACUCUGGUAUAGAGAUAGACAAGAACGUUCUAGCAAAUCGGAUCUGGUUGAGAUCCAUGUGGGACCUGCUACAGAUCUUGAUCAUGAAUAUUUCAAUCAUAAGAAGAUGUAGGGUGAUGGUUAAUCUUUGGGUACAUGCUGAACGCAAUGAAAUUUCAAGCAAUCGCUUCACGGUAUCACCAUAUUUCCUAUUAAUUAUAUUGAUUCAUGACUUUUAAUUGUUUAACUCAAUUGAUUAUAUUGAUUUAAGGAUCCGGAAAACAAUGAAUAUUAAUUCCCAUAAUGCAAGGGUUAGUUUUCAUUUGACAAAUCGGUUGUAGACGAAAUUCAAUCUAAAGUUAGCAGUUGUACAGAAAGCAAUGACCAGAGUACACUUCCUGACAAAAUAGACGUCGUCUGUACGGACGUUGAAGGCAUUUUCUAUCCAAAUCUUCACUGAUUCAGUGUAAGUGUGGUUCAUGUGGGACCAGGAAGCAAACUCCAUCCGAAUGGGAACGACAUACUGGUUCCAGAGCAAAAAAAGUGGAAAGUCAGCAUUAAAGUCAAAGAUUCGAUGUUACCGCCAGAAAAAUACGUUUGUUUUUCAUCUCAUCUACUUUGAUUAAACUUGCAUAUUAUAAAAUUGGUUAUUACGCUAAGGCUCUUUUCGAAUCAACUAGAUGAACAACAACUGUUUUCGUUUAUUCAAGAGAAGUAUGAAUCUGUUUAUGCAAAGUGGACAACCGAACGAUGUGCAAUUUGUAGAUGGGAUGAAGAUUAUGAUGAUAACAAAAUCAUUAUCUACAACAGAUGUCAAAUCCAUGUUCAUCAAGAAUGCUAUGGAGUUAGAGAUAUGAAUGAUUUCACAUCUUGGGUUUGUCAGGCGUGUGAAACACCCGAGGUUGAGCGAUAAUGUUGCCUUUGCCCUGUAAAAGGUGGUGCAUUGAAGCCGACUAAUAUUGAUACAUUGUGGGUCCAUGUAAUAUGAGCGUGGUUUCGACCGGAGGUUGCUUUUCUAAGCGGUGAAAAGAUGGAACCUGCAGUUGGGCUUUUACGGAUUCCACCCGAUUCAUUUGUUAAGGCAAUAUAAGAGGCGUACAGUAUAGAAAACGAGCAUUUGAAUUCUGGAUAUAGAGAUAGACAAGAACGUUCUAGCGAAUCGGAUCUGGUUGAGAUCCAUGUGGGACCUGCUACAGAUCUUGAUCAUGAAUAUUUCAAUCAUAAGAAGAUGUAAUGUGAUGGUUGUAAUCUUUGGGUACAUGUUUAAUACAAUGAAAUUUCAAGCAAUCACUUCACGGAUCCGGAAAACAAUGAAUAUUACUUCCCAGAAUGCAAGGGUCAGUUUUCAUUUGACCAAUCGGUUGUAGACGAAAGUCAAUCUAAAGUCAGCAGUUGUACAGAAAGCAAUGACCAGAUUACACUUCCUGACAAAAUAGUUGUCGUCUGUACGGACGUUGAAAGCAUUUACUAUCCAAAUCUUCAUCUGAUUCAGUGUAAGUGUGGUUCAUGUGGGACCAGGAAGC